UGCGUAGGUGGUGAGGUAAGUCGGAUGUGAAAUCUCGGAGCUUAACUCCGAAAUGGCAUUGGAAACUACCUUGCUCGAGGGUUGGAGGGGGGACGUGGAAUACUUGGUGUAGCAGUGAAAUGCGUAGAUAUCAAGUGGAACACCAGUGGCGAAGGCGAGUCCCUGGACAACUCCUGACACUGAUGCGCGACAGCGUGGGGAGCAAACA
rnacentral:rRNA from 1 species